UGUGUGACUGCGUACCUUUUGUAUAAUGGGUCAGCGACUUAUAUUCUGUAGCAAGGUUAACCGAAUAGGGGAGCCGGAGGGAAACCGAGUCUUAAUUGGGCGUUAAGUUGCAGGGUAUAGACCCGAAACCCGGUGAUCUAGCCAUGGGCAGGUUGAAGGUUGGGUAACACUAACUGGAGGACCGAACCGACUAAUGUUGAAAAAUUAGCGGAUGACCUGUGGCUGGGGGUGAAAGGCCAAUCAAACCGGGAGAUAGCUGGUUCUCCCCGAAAGCUAUUUAGGUAGCGCCUCGUGAAUUCAUCUCCGGGGGUAGAGCACUGUUUCGGCUAGGGGGCCAUCCCGGCUUACCAACCCGAUGCAAACUGCGAAUACCGGAGAAUGUUAUCACGGGAGACACACGGCGGGUGCUAACGUCCGUCGUGAAGAGGGAAACAACCCAGACCGCCAGCUAAGGUCCCAAAGUCAUGGUUAAGUGGGAAACGAUGUGGGAAGGCCCAGACAGCCAGGAUGUUGGCUUAGAAGCAGCCAUCAUUUAAAGAAAGCGUAAUAGCUCACUGGUCGAGUCGGCCUGCGCGGAAGAUGUAACGGGGCUAAACCAUGCACCGAAGCUGCGGCAGCGAACGUAUCACCCAAGACAACUUUACGGAGUUGACGAUUGACGGAGCGAAGCGACGUCAAAGCGUUCAUUAAAGUCGAGUUGGCUUAGGGAUACGUUCGUUGGGUAGGGGAGCGUUCUGUAAGCCUGUGAAGGUGUGUCGUGAGGC
rnacentral:rRNA from 1 species